CUAGAGCACUGGGAUGAACUAUAAAUUCAGCCUGCAAAUCUCAAGACUUUUCAUCUAGAAUGCAAAUCUAUAGACAGUCAGACAGCAGAAAAUUUUGUAUUUUAAAAAUCAACCGUGGUGCUUAACGGACAACCAAAGUCUGAGAAUAUCAUUAUGUUUUAAUAGUAGAAGAGCUUGGGAAGGAGGCUGAAUAUUCCAACUUCUUUUCUACAGCAUACUGGUUAAUUUGAAGUUGGCCUGCAAAGGGGAGAAAAAUAGGAAUUGCCUGUGUUAACCAGUGGGGAUGCUGGUCCAUAGACAAGUUGCAUAACAUGGAUUUUAUAAGUACUUCCCUAAGGGAAUCCAGAGCAUCACCUGCUGGCAUCCUCCACCGUCACAUUAUACUAAUAGGGUAAGACAGUUCACUUCAUAUAGGCACCUGUUCUAUUUUUAAAGGCACUCCAUCAGCCAAUUUAGGCCCAAGGUAACUCCCACAUCUUUAGUUACUUCAGAUAAGACCGAGCAGCAUCUACAGACAAGCUUGUUUAAUACCUAUUUAGGGUCUGGCUAAAAUAGUCAGCAUUUUAAUAAGUAUUAUUUACGUAGCUAAAUAUACAUUUUUGGCUGAAUCCGUUAUGUGAAUUUGUGUAUGUUUAAUCUGACUUUGAGAACUGUUAUGGUCUGUUGAUUAAUGGUGUGUUCUGAAAUGCUCAAACUACUCUGAGUCCUCCUGAUCCUAUAAAUACUUGCCAUGUGGAAUAGAGCUUCCUAAGUUAAGUAGUUGCCUUUUUUGCUACUGUGAGGCAACAAGCACCACACCCAGUAUGAAGUGUUUUGUAAAUGCAUAUUUACCUGGUGGAUUCCAAUGGCCACUUCUGUUGAGUAACCAUUUACACAUUUUUAAAAGGAGCAUUUUAAUGACCGAUGCCCUAAUUUAGCAAGGUACAAACACAUUCCGAACUUUAAGCAUAUGAAUGGUACUUAAAGUUGAAAAUGGGCUUAAGUAGUUUGCUGAAUCAGAACCUGAAACAGUGUUGCUUUGGAAGUUGGCAGUCUGUUAAAUUUACCCUACCUCCAGUACUCUUCUGCUACUGUUGUGGGGUAAGAGGGACUCCAACCUAACAAGCCACGUGUUUUGGAGGGAACAUGGAAUCUACCAUCUACUAACAAGCUCUGGGAAAGCAUAUGAUAGAUGACCGUAAGUACAUUUCCAUAAACACUGAAGUGUAUUUGCUCUGCGUCUUGCUCUGUGCACAACUUUAUUUUUAAUAUUUACACUUCCUUAUUACCAGAAUUGUAGGAUCAUUAAAACAAUGUAUUCAAAUCUCAAUACCAGACACCUCAGUGUGAUCAUAAAUGUAAAUGAUUUUUGUGUAAAAUAUAUAUCAAUGGAUAUCUUGUAGAUCAGUCUGAGACGGGGGCUGGAACAAUUUGUACAGUGCGGGUGCUGAGAGCCAUUG